CAGCUUGGUUUGCGACUUUGAUCCGGCUUCAAGGCCGAGCUCUCUGAUGCGCUCCAGCUCCAUUUGCUGCUUAAAAGUGGUGGCAUCAUCAUGCUGUUUUCAACAAGGUCUGUGAAGUUAUUCAGAGAUCUGGGAAGUGUGGGAGAGCUAAAUGCAAGAAGAGAACCUUGACAGAUGAGUUUAAAUCUUGAACAUGUAUAUCCAUAGAUCCAUUCCUCAUUGAGUCUGAUUGAACUUAUUUUGGGAAGAUAAAUGGGCAAAAUGCUCUGUAUGUGCAAACCAGGUAAACCAAACUCUACAAGACAUUUAGGUGAUGAUAUAAAGACCCUGAUUUUUCUUGUUAUCCUGAAGUAUAAAACUGAAACUGGUAAGAACGCAUCAGACUUUUUAAAUGUGUUUUCAGUUGAACUGCAUGCCACUUAUCUGGCCGUAGAAUAGAUUAAUUGUGAUCUAUUAAAAAUGUUACUUGUGGUGA